rnacentral:rRNA from 1 species
UGGGGAAUAUUGGACAAUGGGGGCAACCCUGAUCCAGCCAUGCCGCGUGUGUGAAGAAGGCCUUCGGGUUGUAAAGCACUUUAAGCAGGGAGGAAGGCUCGUACGUUAAUAGCGUGCGGGAGUGACGUUACCUGCAGAAUAAGCACCGGCAAACUCCGUGCCAGCAGCCGCGGUAAUACGGAGGGUGCAAGCGUUAAUCGGAUUUACUGGGCGUAAAGCGCACGUAGGUGGUUUGUUAAGUCGGAUGUGAAAUCCCCGGGCUCAACCUGGGAGCGGCAUUCGAUACUGGCAAACUGGAGUACGAGAGAGGGGGGUGGAAUUCCAGGUGUAGCGGUGAAAUGCGUAGAUAUCUGGAGGAACACCGGUGGCGAAGGCGGCCCCCUGGCUCGAUACUGACACUGAGGUGCGAAAGCGUGGGGAGCAAACAGG